UCAGGAAUGAAGUUUUUAUUAAAGUGGCAACUUAAAAAAAUAAAAAGGUUUUAGCAGAAAUCAGCCAUGGAAAAUCAAAUAAAGCAAAAAAUUGAAGAAUGUUUCAAAGAGCUGCUAAGGAUGUUACCUAAAGAACUAAGGAAAUACAUUUCCGCUGUUGAAACUGGGCAAAAUCAUUUAACAUUGCUGAUUGCUCACACAGCUCAUUAUAAACAUGCUAAAUCUUCAAAUAUUGAAAAUACUGAAAUCUUUCAGAAGAAUCCUGGCAUCCAAUUAAAGCUUCUGCAUAACAUCAGCCUUGAAAUUGAUGAUGAAGAAAACAUGAUUUCAACAGUAUUGGAUCACUUCAAAAAAUGUAUUGGACUAUUAAGAACCAAUGUGAUAAAAUUUUGAAUUUAUAUCAAAGUAAUCUGUAUAUAAAUUUAAGCAUUGAAGAUGUAACUUCUGGAAGUGAAUCUUCAUAUUGCAUUGCCAAAAAAGUCGAAGCCGUAGAACAGUUCAAGAGAUUAUUUAGUAAGAUACAUUUAGCACGAAAAUAUACUCUUAAUUACCAUCAUAGUGGCGGUAAUUUAGAAAAGAUACAGGAUUUGUGGGAUGUAUCUAACCUUAUACUAGCUCAACAAGAUUUAACUUGUAUGAUUUCCAGCUGAAUUAAAAACAUUUCUGUUUUCCUACAGAAAAGUGUUACAUUGUUAACAAGUUUUCAUUAUCAAAGAAAAAAAAAUGGAGUCCAUCCACUAAAUUUGUCAGUGAAUUUUUAUUGUAUGCAAAAUAAUAUGCAUGCCAUUGAGAUAAUAAUAUGAUUUGUAUGUAAAAGUAAUGACAGAAUUCUUUUUUGUGUAACCUAUUUGGACCUUCCUGGUGAUGUUCUAUCUUACUAAAUCUUCAAAUGAACUCUUGCCUCAUCUGUAAAUGUUUCGUGUUGACAAUCAUGCAUCAUGUGCAUCAUGUGAUAUUGAAUUGCUCGUUAUAAAUGCCAUUAUAAUGGAAAA